GGCUCAAUGGUCUAGUGGUAGGAUACUCGCUUCGGGUCAAGUCUCAUCCGAUCUCACGACGGAGUCAUAGACGGGAAAUCCAAUCUCAGAGAACGAGAUCUUGUGAGUGGUCCCGGGUUCAAAUCCCGGUUGAGCCC